UCCGAAUUGGUGUAGUGGCUAACAUUUGACGCUCUCAUAAUCGUCUAACGAUAGAAGGAACCGUCAAGCCCGGGGUUCGAUUCCCCGAUUCGGAG